AAAAAAAUAAACCCUGGAUUUUUAUAUCCAACGUUUGACUAUCUGUCUUAUAUGAAUUUUUUUUACAAUUAGUAUUUUCAUUGUUAUUAGAUGAUAAAACAUGAUUAAUACUUUAUGCCUGACUUGUCUUUUUAAUUUUUUUCAUAAUUUUUUCAAAUAAGACGGAUGGUCAAACGUUGAACACGGAAAUCAAUGGUUUGUCUUUUU
rfam:Oryza sativa (indica cultivar-group) chromosome 2, whole genome shotgun sequence.